UGGGGAAUAUUGGACAAUGGGCGAAAGCCUGAUCCAGCCAUGCCGCGUGUGUGAAGAAGGUCUUCGGAUUGUAAAGCACUUUAAGUUGGGAGGAAGGGCAGUAAGCGAAUACCUUGCUGUUUUGACGUUACCGACAGAAUAAGCACCGGCUAACUCUGUGCCAGCAGCCGCGGUAAUACAGAGGGUGCAAGCGUUAAUCGGAUUUACUGGGCGUAAAGCGUGCGUAGGCGGCUAAUUGAGUCGGAUGUGAAAUCCCCGAGCUUAACUUGGGAAUUGCAUGCGAUACUGGUUAGCUAGAGUGUGGGAGAGGAUGGUAGAAUUCCAGGUGUGGCGGUGAAAUGCGUAGAGAUCUAGAGGAAUACCGAUGGCGAAGGCAGCCAUCUGGCCUAACCCUGACGCUGAGGUACGAAAGCAUGGGGAGCAAACAGG
rnacentral:rRNA from 1 species